GAUCCCGGGGUUGCAGCCUCCCGGGCCAGGGCCGGGGGCGAAGGCUGCGCCGCUGGGGGCGUGAGGGGGAGGGUCCGUGUUCAGUGGCUGGCUCCGGGUUGGUGCCUGAGAGGCUCCGGGUAGGUGCCUGAGGGCGGGCCUAGUGCAGGAAGUGUCCCUGCGGGGCAGGCUGGUGGCCUGGGGACGGGACAAAUGGAAAUGGAAUCAGGCGGCCAGACCCUAAGGCAAGGUGAUGGGGAGACAGAGAAAGAGGACAUCUGGUUUGGGGAAGAAGUCAAGGCUUGAGAGUGGGAGAGGCUGAAGUGACUUGUGAUUCCUCCAAAUAGAUGCUAUGCAGUGUGUGUGUGUAUGUGUGUGUGUGUGUGUGUGUGUGUGUGUGUGUGUUUGGUGGGGAGAAGCGGGGAGAAGGAAGACAGCUGAAUGGAAAAGGGGAAGAGGGAAAUUUGGGAUCAAGCUGUCCCAGAGCAGUGCCAUCUUCCUCUUCCAGCUCUGAACCCCCUCUCUCCAGCCUCAUUCCUUUCACCCCAGGCCAGAGCAUGCUGUUUUCUUUACUCAUGGCUUCCCCUCCCAUAAUGCCAGGUAGAUGGAAAGGUUACCUCUGUCCCACCUCUCCCAGGCCGCCCCCAUCUCUGCUGAGCUUCCCCUUUUUCACAUUAUGGCCUUCCUAGAGAGUUGGAGUUUGGUGCCUAAGUCAAUGCCAGCCGUAGCUGAGGGCACAGGAGAGGAGGUGGCUGUGCCAAGCCAUUUCCAGGAUGUGGAUGCAGGGCUGAGAGAUGGGAAGCCUGCCAGUGCCUACCCAUUCCAGCUGUGGCCUGGCUGGGGCAGCCGUGGGUCCAGGCCUCUCUCUAGUCCUCGUGUCCACCAUCAUCAGGAAGGGGAGCUGCGAGAACCAUCUAGGCAGGCACCCCGGGACUGUCAGAUGCCCUUCUCUGCUCAGACUCAGCCAUCCGAGGCUGCGAGGACAGCCGGUCCUGCCUUCCCCGGACUAUCCCCUCCAGCCAACAUGAAGCCCGAGAUAACGCGAAGAUGCGAGAUUAUACCAAGCACAGCUCCUGUAACUGAAGCGUGAACCUAUGGAGCCCUCUCUGUGGGGCACUGCUGAGUCUCCCUAGGUCAGAACCCCUGCAUGGGGGGGGGCAGCGGAUCCCCCAGCCCUGACCCACGUUUCCUGCUCACUGCUGCUGUGCCAGAUGUCACGCCAGCCUGGAAGAGCAGCUCGGCUCAGUCAGGAUUCCUGGCAAGGAGGACACAUCUACUCCACGCCCAAGUCCUGGGUGCUCUGUGCUCAGCCUUCACCACCAAGGCCCAGCGGCCCAGGUAUUGGUCCACGGCACAUGGAGAAUUGCUUUAUGGGAAUUUACACUUCAAUGUAAGGCAAUAGGUACGGCCCCAUACUAGGUAUCACCUGGUUGGCCCAAUAGAUAUCACCAAGACGAGGAAGCUAAUCACUGAAUAUAAUGAGAAUAAAGAUAGAGUAAAUUCUAUUUUUGUUUAAAUGUAUAUGUAUUUCAAUAUAUGAAUAUAUUAUAGCAGGAAAAAGUCUUAAAUUGCUAAAAUGUUAAAAAAAUUAUCUCUUGGAGGUUGGAUUUUGCUGAAGAGAAUUUUUCUCAUUUUUCUCUGUAUUUUGUCGUUUUUCUCACAAUAAAUGUAUUCUAUGUGCUCUUUUUAAAAUAAAGGAAGAUAAAGAAUGUUGAGGAAGUAAUUAAAAGACUCUCUACCCUGAA